rnacentral:rRNA from 1 species
UACGUAGGGGGCAAGCGUUGUCCGGAUUUAUUGGGCGUAAAGAGCGUGUAGGCGGCCUGAGUAGGUCGGUUGUGAAAACUGGAGGCUUAACCUUCAGACGUCGGCCGAAACCAUCUGGCUAGAGUCCGGAAGAGGAGAGUGGAAUUCCGUGGUGUGAGCGGUGGAAUGCACAGGAUAUCAGGAAGGAACACCGAUGGCGAAGGCAGGUCUCUGGGCCACUAGCUGACG